GCUAAGUGCGGACCUGUUUUCAAUUUUUUGCCGAACCGGAAAGUUUUCGUUUAGGUUUAUAUUGUACCACGAAACCCCAUUCUCUGCUUGGACCUUUAAUCGUACCUUCCGGCGAUGGCCACAGAAGUACUGGUAGCUGCAACGAAUGGAAAUGGUCCCAGGUUAUCGAAAGUCGGAUUCGAUAUCCCGCGUUAUCGGUCUUCUUCAAUAGAAAACAUGGGGGACCGCCAUUCGUUCUACCAAAAGUACCUAAACCCAACGGCAGCGGACGGAAGAAGAAAUGAUUAUUCUCAAGGAAACAGUUGGCCACUGUUUCACGUUUAACAGUUGAUGGGGCUGAAAAUGAAAGAGCGAGAAUUUCCUGCAUACCGAAGAAGUUUCCUGGAUUCGGCUACUCGGCUAAAGUUGAUUUCAACCCCCACAAAGCGGAGGCAGAAGAUUCUCAAACAUAAUGGAGUUUAUCGUCUACAUCCAAAGAAUCAAGCGUGAGAAGGCUACAACGGACCGAAAAUCUGUGAAGGUUCCAACGGAUCGUAAAGCCAUCUUGAAUCGCUGUGUGGUUGAUCAGCUGAGGAAAAAAUUAACCGUUUUUUUAACGAUAAAUUAGUGAUAAUAUGAUAAAUGAUUCAAUUGUGCAAUUAUGUUUAUAAAAUAUUUUUAAUAAA